rnacentral:lncRNA from 1 species
UCUUCUCAGAAUCUCACCAAGUGUUUAACUCUCAGUGUUUGACUCACAGUGUUUCUCUCAGCACUCAAAGUAUGGUCUUCUGUACCUGCAUGAGAAAAUCACCAUAGCCCCUUCAAGAGAGGUCACUGGCGGUGCAAUGGGUUUUCGUAAAUCCCCGAUCCUCAACCGACUCAUCAAUAAAUUGACUUAUAGUCAUAGAGUUGCCGAUCUCCUAUAAAUAGGAAAUCCAUUCCGAUUGGAUCCAGAUCUGUUCUUAUCUGGGGAGGGAGACGAGAAUCCUGAAGAUUUGGCGAUUGAGAUCCUCGUUUCCUCCUUACACCUGUAAAGGCAUCAACCAUCUUAUCUACCGUAAAAUGGUAAAUGAAGAAGUUGCUUCUGGAACAAAACCUUAACCUUACUGUGCACUCUCUUGUAUUGUGUCCAUAAGAUUUUUUCUCACUGUACACUCUCUUGUAUUGUGUCCAUAAGAUUUUUUUGUUUAGGCUCUUCAUCAGAGUGAUUAUUGAUGAUGUGCUUGACUCAAUACAAGAUGCUCUGGCUGACGAGCGAAUUUCAAUGGACUCGUCCUUUUGAGAGAAUGAUUCCAGAGACUGUUUAAUUGCCUUUUCAGCUCUAUAUUCUUUUGGGAGAAUACAGAUGAGCAACAGUUACCUCGAGUUUGAAAACACCUUUUCUCCUUGAGAGGUAGAGCUGUGGGUACACUAUCCCUCACAUCCUUAUUUGCUGCAACGAGUACAGUUUCUCCCUCAUUGACUUUUUGUUUUAAAAGUUCCUUAUUACUCCAGGGGGAAAGUUGGGAUGUGUUCUGAAUUUGGUUUUAUAGUCUGGGAUAAAGAUUGUUGGUUUUCAACCUUAU